GAUGAACGCUGGCGGCGUGCCUAAUACAUGCAAGUCGAGCGAACAGAUGAUGAGCUUGCUCCUCUCACGUUAGCGGCGGACGGGUGAGUAACACGUGUAUACCCUCCUUAUAAUACUGGGAUAAUUUCGGGACACCGGCUCUUAUCCCGUAUAAUAUCUUGAACCGCAUGGUUCAAUAGUGAAAUACGGCUUUGCUGUCACUACUAGCUGCAUCCCGGCGGCAUUAGCUAGUUGGUAAGGUAACGGCUUACCAAGGCAACGAUGCGUAGCCGACCUGAGAGGGGGAUAGGCCGCACUGGAACUGGGACACGGACCAGACUCCUACGGGAGGCAGCAGUAGGGAAUCGGCCGCAAUGGGCGAAAGCCUGACGGAGCAGCGCGGAGUGAGUGAUGAAGGUCUUCGGAUCGUAAAGCUCUGUUAUUAGGGAAGAACAAAUGUGUAAGUAACUAUGCACGUCUUGACGGUACCUAAUCAGAAAGCAACGGCUAACUACGUG
rnacentral:rRNA from 1 species